rnacentral:rRNA from 1 species
CCUACGGGAGGCAGCAGUGAGGAAUAUUGGUCAAUGGGCGGAAGCCUGAACCAGCCAAGUCGCGUGAGGGAAUAAGGCCCUACGGGUCGUAAACCUCUUUUGCCGGGGAGCAAGGGCCGGGACGAGUCCCGGUCCGGAGAGUACCCGGAGAAAAAGCAUCGGCUAACUCCGUGCCAGCAGCCGCGGUAAUACGGAGGAUGCGAGGGUUACCCGGAUUUUUUGGGUUAAAAGGGUGCGUAGGGGGGCUUUUAAGUCAGCGGUAAAAAUUCGGGCCUAAACCCCGUACGGCCGUUGAUACUGGGGGCCUUGAGUGGGCGAGAGGAAGGCGGAAUGCGUGGUGUAGCGGUGAAAUGCAUAGAUAUCACGCAGAACCCCGAUUGCGAAGGCAGCCUUCCGGCGCCCUACUGACGCUGAGGCACGAAAGUGCGGGGAUCGAACAGGAUUAGAUACCCGAGUAGUC